GGAGCACAGCCUCUUACCACCUACUUCCCCAAGCUCAGUAAGAGGAGAGCGCUGUUUGCAGUGGUGCGAGCAUGUUGGUGUUACCAUCCUGACAAAAAGAUGCCAUCCAACCUUCAGCUGCCUGGAGCCUCAGCACCAUUUGGCUCAGCCAGAUUCACACGGCAAAAUGGGUGGCCUCAAAAUCAAAAUGAUGUGAGCACUGUGGCUGGAAACCAUCAACCUGAUACCUACAGAAACGGCCUAAUUAAAAAAAUAUUAAUAUUAACAGAAUAAAGAGGAACGGCAGUUUACUCUUCCAUAUAUAUGUUCUGACAAAGCAAGUGGAAGGAAGAUCACUUGACCCUCUGAAAGCAGACCGAAAAGACCCUUCCAGAUGGGAGCAGAAAAGGACUAUGGAAUGGCAAGAAGAAAAUGGGUAAAAAGUGUAAAAUAUACUCAUCAAAAGAGACAUAUGUGUAAAGUUUAUCCCAACGUUUUCAGCGUUUGAAAUGGAAACCAUAUCUUCAUGUUUAAACAAUGCUCGCUGAAAUUUGCAGAAUGGAAAGGUGAUUAGAAAACAUCACAGAAGCCUGAUUCCUCUUCACCCCUACUUUAAAGGUAAUUAUAAUCUGAAAUUAAAAUGUGUGUAGAAGGCAAUUUAUUUUUCUACAUU
rnacentral:lncRNA from 1 species